rnacentral:lncRNA from 1 species
CUACUAAGUGGUGUGCACUGACCCAGCCAAAGGGCAGGUAUAGAAGGCACAGCAAACAUGAGUCCCUCUGACCCUCUGGGAGCCCCUCUCCGGAAUUCUCUCCCAGCCUCUGGCUAUGGACGCAGAGACACGGGUAUUUCAGGUGGCCAGGCCAGGAGAUGGAUCCACCAGGGACCUGGUGCCUGAAUCCUUGUCCUCCUCUAGUGGGGAAUGCCCACCUCAGCCUCACAGCAAAGUCAGCUGCUAGGCAUGGGAAACCCCAGUGUGAAUUUCCUUAAUAAUGCAGGGGAGAGUGUGGCAGCUACCCUCAGCCGUCUGGGCAUGUAAGUUGAUGCUGACAUGGAAAAAGAAGGGAGAAGAAGCUUUUGGCACUCUUCACUCCAGAUAGUUACUGCACAGAAUGGAAGUGCAACUCUCAGCCAAGCAGCUGCUCUCCGGGCACCUCAGCAAACUCAGUGGAAGGGUCAAUGGCAUGGCACAGUCUCUGGCAGCUCAAAUGAAAAAGAUACCCCUGGAGUUCAUGCAGCAGCCCGAGGAACAGAUGGAGUCUAAUAACAGUUUAGGAUGAGAUGGUGAUUCGAUUCCUUUGUCUUCAAAAUAAGUGGGCCUGUCUACAAGUGAACUCCAGUCUGCAGAUGCCAGAAACCUGGAAAGACCCACAGGACUGAAGGAGGCUGCCUUGUUCCCACAUAUUCCUUCAGGAACUGACUCCUGGCUGCUUCAGCCCCUCUCCCAGAUGCAGUCCAUGGGACUCUCCGAUGAAGGUGGCUGCCUCAUCAGGCUCCUAGACACCAGGAAUUACCACAUCAGAGCUGCCCUGGACAUCAUCCAGUAUUCAAAGAAUCCAGUACCUUUGUGA